CCUGGCACCGCGCUCGCGGUCCGCUGAGCGCCUGGAUUUUCGUAUCUAAGCUCUCGGGGCAGCUUUGCUCUGCUCACAUUGGAGUUGGGUGGCAUUUCCUCAAAUGGAAAGGUGGUUGGGCAAAGGCUUUCCAAUGACCUCGCUGUGACACGAGCUUAUGAAUACGGGGGUCUGUUGCUACUUCCCCCCUUAAUUCUCUCUGGGUUAAGGACCGGGGGUGCCGCUCGCGUGCGCAGCCAGCCCCACCGCGUUAUUUCCCUUGGCUAAGCCCAGCACACUAGCACCGUGUUUGCUUUCUCUACGGGUUCUGUCACAGAUGUCGCGUGCAUCACCCCAGGACUGCGCUGGCACAGCACUCAGACACCAGCCGCGGGGAGCAGGAGGGGGACAGGAAGAAGAUGGGCACCCCUGCACUCCACCUCUGCACCAGGCAAGCCCCAGGGAUCCUUCGAGGGCUCCCGCAGGAUGUCCACAGGACCCUCCUCUGAAUGCGCAGUGGGCAGUGAGGGGGAGAAAGAAAUGAAGAACAAGAAGCAGAAAUGCUGAAAAGAGCAGAAAAGCCAGCCUGGAGUCCUUCAGGCACAGGAGGUGAUGGGGAGCCAGUCAGAACUAAGAAAGAACCCAAACAUGGCGAAAUGUCAGCUCCACUCAACCACUGACCGUCUUUCCUGCCCGAGAAGAAGAAGAAACUGCUUUGUCUCAUUCAUUUCAUCACCUAAAACCAUUUGAUGGGCUUGACAGCUGCUGCUUGCUAAUUAUGGGCCAAACUUCUCAGCAGGAGGCUUGUUGCACCAACAGGUCCCGGAACAAUCCAGCAAUUGUUUGGGAGAAGCUUGGGCACUUGGGGUUGAGCGUUUUCACGUCAAUUAUCCCCACUGUUGUCAUGACUCGGAGCUGCUCUAGUGGAAUGAAGGGAACAAAGUAAUGAGGAGCUCUGAGACCUGCACACAGCUGAUUGGCUCUGAAGAACAUUCCAGUUGAAUCUCUGUUUCCGGCUGUUGAAGAUAUGAUGAGAGGGGUCGCUGUCCCACCCCACCCCUGCUCCAGGAAAACACCAAAAGGCACCCAUUUCAGUGAGGUUAGCAGUCGGACAGAAAGGGUUCAUUCCCUGUGGAAAUGUAAUACAUUUUCAGCUCAGUAUCUGUGUUUGGGGAUUUGUCUUUUUUUAAACA